rnacentral:rRNA from 1 species
CCUACGGGUGGCAGCAGUCGAGAAUCAUUGACAAUGGGGGAAACCCUGAUGCUGCGACGCCGCGUGGGGGAAUGAAGCUUUUCGGAUUGUAAAUUCUUGUCAUGUGGGCGCAAAUUAAAAAGUUAGUACGACAUGAGGCAGAGCCGGCUACCUCCGUGCAAGCGGCCGCGGUAAUACGGGGGUAGCAAGCGUGGUUCGGAAUCACUGGGGGUAAAGCGUGCGGAGGCUGUUACGUAAGUGGUGUGGGAAAGGCGCGGGCUCAACGCGCGGACGGCCAUUGAUACUGGGAGACUCGAGUAAGGGAGGGGUAGGCGGAAUGCGCGGUGUAGCGGUGAAAUGCGUAGAUAUCGCGAAGAACUCUGGUGGCGAAGGCAGGAUGCCGGA